UACGGGAGGCAGCAGUGGGGAAUAUUGCACAAUGGGCGCAAGCCUGAUGCAGCCAUGCCGCGUGUAUGAAGAAGGCCUUCGGGUUGUAAAGUACUUUCAGUCGUGAGGAAGGUGUUAAGGUUAAUAACCUUAGCAAUUGACGUUAGCGACAGAAGAAGCACCGGCUAACUCCGUGCCAGCAGCCGCGGUAAUACGGAGGGUGCGAGCGUUAAUCGGAAUUACUGGGCGUAAAGGGCACGCAGGCGGUUAAUUAAGUUGGAUGUGAAAUCCCCGGGCUUAACCUGGGAAUGGCAUUCAAGACUGGUUAGCUAGAGUCUUGUAGAGGGGGUAGAAUUCCAUGUGUAGCGGUGAAAUGCGUAGAGAUGUGGAGGAAUACCGGUGGCGAAGGCGGCCCCUGGACAAAGACUGACGCUCAUGUGCG
rnacentral:rRNA from 1 species